AUACUACUCCCUCUGUCCCGAAUUAACUGUCGUGGAUUUGCAUAGAUUCUUAUGUAAAUCCACGACAGUUAAUUCGGGACGGAGGGAGUACAAA
rnacentral:pre_miRNA from 1 species